rnacentral:tRNA from 1 species
GGCGGGUGGUAAACCCAAGCGCUUAACCUAUCCCCGACCGCCUUGGGGAAGAUCGCAGGUUCGAAUCCUGCCCCCGCUACCA